rnacentral:lncRNA from 1 species
AUUAGAUAUCCUUGAGAAAGUACACUGCAAUGCCAUCACAAGAGGAAGACGGAAGAGAAAUGCAUCAGAAGGGAAAAUCAGAGAGAUUCAUGGUGGGUUCAUCAACCAUUGCUGGCUUUGAAGAUGAAGGGAAUCAAGAGCCAGAGAAUGCAGGUGGCCUCUGGAAGCUGAGAGUGACCCCCGGAUGAAAGCCAGCAAGCAAAUGGGGACCUCAGUCCAAUAAAUGUGUGGAACUAAAUUCUACCAACGACCAGAUUGAGCCUGGAAGCAACAGCUCGAUUUUAGCCUGAUGAGACCCCUGGUUGGAAUUCUAACUUACUGAACUGAGAUAAUAAAUGGGCGUUGUUUUAAGCCUCUAAAUAUGUAGUAAUUUGUUACAUCAGCAAGAGAAAACUGAUACUGAUACCCAGAACAUUUUUGUGGUUCACCAGUCACGGUGAGCUUAAGGGGAGUUGAAGUCAGGUGAUACACGGAAUUUUGGCUCAAGACCAUGUCACAAUGGGCCUAUUAGAUGUGAAAACACAGCCUUCCCACUGUUCAUCCUAUUUCCUAAGUAUAUUAUUAGAUUAGACAUACUCAGCUAAUUUCCAAAAUGGUAUGAAGACUAGCAUGGAAGAAGAGUCUAGAGCCUACCAAAUUAUAAGCUGAAGAAAUGCUAUAUCCCUGGGAAGUCAUAGAGAUGAGAUGCACUAUCAAAACCUUGAAAGAUACAGGAACACAUGGAAAUUCAUACAAAAUCUGUUAAAGGAUAAUGCGAUUGAUUUUUGCAAUAUUCUGAUUGUGGCAUUCUGAUUUGCAAUAUUCUGUGUGCACUGACUUCUCUCUAUAGUGAGAUAAUGAAGCAUAAAGAGGACUUGGGGGAAAAUCACAGAGCUGAAGCUGUGGGCAACAUUGCCUCGGAAAGGAUGCCCACAUUCUCCACUCCCUUCCUCCUCCAGACACGUUCCUCUUCACGCCUAUCUAAGGUCAAAAUUCUAUUAGUAUUUUUCCUGCUGAACCCAGCUGUAUCCAUAGCUCACUCUCAACGAAGUGUUCUAGCCUCGAAGGUGUAUAGGGACCAUAGUGACCCUGCCCCCAAAGCAACAACAAGAAAAAUAAAGACAAAAUAUAUGGAAUAGGUUUUUGAGAUCCUGGACAUCAGGGAACACGAGACAGUGGUCUCUCAGGGACAGGAAACAAAUGAGCCAUGCUGCCCUUCCCCAGGAAAGGAGGAAGACAAAUGCCGCUGUCUGAGAAAGGGAUUAAUUUAAAGCCACAUGGCCAUUUUACUGGAUUAGAUUAUGCAUGAAUUUAUCUGAAAUCUACUCAUUAGAUUUUUGUUUCUACUUCUUUCUCCACUUAUUUCCAGUUCCAGAUGCCAUAGGACACUUUUGUAUCAGUACUUCUGUGUCUUUCAUCUUUUGCCUUGAUGCUGGAAAAUAUCUGCAAUCAAGCAGGUCGUGAUCUGUCAUUGGCCUCUGUCACUUAAUAAUCUCUUGCUCCAAAAUGAGUUAGAUCUCUUAUGGAAAGACUGGACUGCCUUGAUUCGUUAUGAAUGAAUGCUCCCACCCUCUGGAAGUGAUGAGUUUGGUCCAUGUGCUUUGAGCUGUCACCCACUCUAAAUGAUUACGGAUCUGUUAUAUAGCAGAAAUCUGUUAUUACCCAAGAUCCACAAAGACAUUCUGAAAUGAGAGGGGCUGCGGGAGGGCUGGACCCCACCUAUGAAGUCAUCCUCUGGGCCAGAGCGAAUGGCUCGGGAAUGGACCCAUAACCUAACUCAGGCCACUGAGAGAAGAACUGAAGUUACAAUGCUCCGGUCCUGAAGAUGCCAGAAACUGGAUUAAUCAAGUCAAAGGACCGAGCUGGCAUUUGCCCUGGUCUUCCCGUCUCGCUUCCUCCUUCUAACAGAUAUGUAGGGGGUGUCCACUGGCUAUGAGGCCCCAUGCAAGGCACUGACAAUAUUGGGUGAGAAAAAAAAGAAAUAUUUUCUGCCUGCAUGUAGUUUGCAGAUAAUAGGAGUUAAGUAGGCGUUAAUCAGAGUCACAUGAGCACCUGAUCACAAUCAGAAACAGAUGCUGUGAAGGAUCAACUCAAGCUGCUCUGAGAGUAAAAGGAUUUAACCUGAGAGGCAGGGCGUGGCCAGGGGGGCAGACGGUCUCGCUGAGGAAGCUGACGUUUGCCUGAGACCGGAAGUAGG